GGCUGUGGAUCAGUGGAAAAGCUUCUGCUUUGCACGCAGAAGGUCCCAGGUUCUAUCCCCGGCAAGGCCA
rnacentral:tRNA from 1 species